AUUGAACGCUGGCGGCAGGCCUAACACAUGCAAGUCGAGCGAGCGGCGGACGGGUGAGUAAUGUAUGGGGAUCUGUCCGAUAGAGGGGGAUAACUACUGGAAACGGUGGCUAAUACCGCAUACUAUAGGAUGACCCAAUAUGGGAUUAGAUAGUAGGUGGGGUAAAGGCUCACCUAGGCGACGAUCUCUUGCUGGUCUGAGAGGAUGAUCAGCCACACUGGAACUGAGACACUGCCCAGACUCCUACGGUAGGAAGCAUUGGGGAAUAUUGCACAAUGGGCGCAAGCCGGCUACAGCCAUGCCGCGUGUAUGAAGAAGGCCUUAGGGUUGUAAAGUACUUUCAGCGGGGAGGCGUUACCCGCAGAAGAAGCACCGGCUAACUCCGUGCCAGCAGCCGCGGUAAUUC
rnacentral:rRNA from 1 species